rnacentral:misc_RNA from 1 species
AUGUACCAACAUAUCUGACAAAUGAUCCACCCCUCGAUAUUUGAUAGGCUGUGGCUUAGGUUGCUGAGAAUAGCAGUUAUGUGCAGUCAAUCUGAUUUUGGAUGGAUCGUCCAAUCCAAUUCGUUGUGCCACCUUCUCAACGACCUCAUCAUAAGUAUGAACUUUCAACAGCUCUAAGCAAAAGUCAUCCUCCUUGGGUUUCUCUAGAGUUCGAAAAUGAACAACCUGACGAUUAUGUACAUACUCCAAAAAGGAAGGAACAUCG